CACUUCAGGCUGAUCCUGGAAUCCCACAGAUCAAGCAUGUGGAACUGAACUCCAGGGCUGCCGUCUGCCUUUGAAGAUGUUGUGACUCGUUUAUUUAUUUCAUGUCUAUGAGUACACUGUAGCUGUCUUCAGACACACCAAAAGAGGACAUCAGAUCCCAUGACAGAUGGUUGUGAGCCACCAUGUGGUUGCUGGGAAUUGAACUCAGGACCUCUGGAAGAGCAAGCAACUAGGGCUCUUAACCGCUGAGUCAUCUCUCCAGUCUGGAUGUGUUCUUUGUAUCUCGAUCAUCUUAAGUCCCUGAAUAUAUAGCAAUCACGG
ensembl:antisense Ctrcos chymotrypsin C (caldecrin), opposite strand